AUUAAGUGCAUCCGCCUGGGGAGUACGUCAGCAAUGAUGAAACUCAAAGGAAUUGACGGGGGCCCGCACAAGCGGAGGAACAUGUGGUUUAAUUCGAUGAUACGCGAGGAACCUUACCUGGGCUUAAAUGUAGAGUGCAUAGAGUGGAAACAUUCUUUUCUUCCGGGACUCUUUACAAGGUGCUGCAUGGUUGUCGUCAGCUCGUGCCGUGAGGUGUCGGGUUAAGUCCCAUAACGAGCGCAACCCUCAUCGCCAGUUGCCAUCACAUCAUGGUGGGGACUCUGGUGAAACUGCCGGUGCAAACCGUGAGGAAGGUGAGGAUGACGUCAAAUCAGCACGGCCCUUAUGUCCAGGGCUACACACGUGUUACAAUGGUCGGUACAACGGGCAGCUACACAGCGAUGUGGUGCUAAUCCCAAAAACCGGUCUUAGUUCGGAUCGGAGUCUGCAACUUGACUCCGUGAAGUUGGAAUCGCUAGUAAUCGUGGAUCAGCAAGCCACGGUGAAUACGUUCCCGGGCCUUGUACACACCGCCCGUCAC
rnacentral:rRNA from 1 species